AGUGAACGCUGGCGGUAGGCCUAACACAUGCAAGUCGAACGGCAGCACAGUAAGAGCUUGCUCUUACGGGUGGCGAGUGGCGGACGGGUGAGGAAUACAUCGGAAUCUACUUUUUCGUGGGGGAUAACGUAGGGAAACUUACGCUAAUACCGCAUACGACCUACGGGUGAAAGCAGGGGAUCUUCGGACCUUGCGCGAUUGAAUGAGCCGAUGUCGGAUUAGCUAGUUGGCGGGGUAAAGGCCCACCAAGGCGGCGAUCCGUAGCUGGUCUGAGAGGAUGAUCAGCCACACUGGAACUGAGACACGGUCCAGACUCCUACGGGAGGCAGCAGUGGGGAAUAUUGGACAAUGGGCGCAAGCCUGAUCUAGCCAUACCGCGUGGGUGAAGAAGGCCUUCGGGUUGUAAAGCCCUUUUGUUGGGAAAGAAAAGCAGCAGGUUAAUACCCCGCUGUUCUGACGGUACCCAAAGAAUAAGCACCGGCUAACUUCGUG
rnacentral:rRNA from 1 species